GCGGUAAUUCCAGCUCCAGUAGCGUAUAUUAAAGUUGUUGCAGUUAAAAAGCUCGUAGUUGGAUUUCUGACGAACCGUUGCGGCCCGUGCUCGUUUCGGGCGUGUGUGCCGUGUCGUGUUCGUCAUCCUUCCAGAAAGCUGCGUCUACCAUUUACUUGGCCGGACGUACGUGAUCUGGAUCGAUUACUUUGAAAAAAUUAGAGUGUUUAAAGCAGGCUUAUGCUGUGAAUACAUUAGCAUGGAAUAAUAAUUUAGGACUUCGGUUCUAUUUUGUUGGUUUCUAGGACUGAAGUAAUGAUUGAUAGGGACAGUUGGGGGUGCUAGUAUUCCGCGGCCAGAGGUGAAAUUCUUGGAUUCGCGGAAGACUAACUACUGCGAAAGCAUUCACCAAGGAUGUCUUCUUUAAUCAAGAACGAAAGUUGGGGGAUCGAAGACGAUCAGAUACCGUCGUAGUCUCAACCAUAAACUAUACCGACUAAGGAUCAGUGAACGUUGAUUUACGACUUCAUUGGCACUUUGUGAGAAAUCAAAGUCUUUGGGUUCCGGGGGGAGUAUGGUCGCAAGGCUGAAACUUAAAGGAAUUGACGGAAGGGCACCACCAGGAGUGGAGCCUGCGCCUUAAUUUGACCCAACACGGGAAAACUUACCAGGUCCAGACAUAGUGAGGAUUGACAGAUUGAAGAUCUUUCUUGAUUCUAUGGGUGGUGGUGCAUGGCCGUUCUUAGUUGGUGGAGUGAUUUGUCUGGUUAAUUCCGUUAACGAACGAGACCUCGACCUGCUAAAUAGUACUAGUUAUCCUUGGAUAAUCUAGGCACUUCUUAGAGGGACUAUCGGCGGUGUACCCGAUGGAAGUUCGAGGCAAUAACAGGUCUGUGAUGCCCUUAGAUGUUCUGGGCUGCACGCGCGCUACACUGAUACGUUCAUCGAGCUUACAACUUUGACUGGAAGGUCUGGGUAAUCUUCAAAUGCGUAUCGUGAUGGGGAUAGAUUAUUGUAAUUUUUGAUCUUCAACGAGGAAUUCCUAGUAAACGCGCGUCACUAACGCGCAUUGAUUACGUCCCUGCCCUUUGUACACACCGCCCGUCGCUACUACCGAUUGGAUGGUUUAGUGAGGUUCACGGAUUGUUGCGCUUGGUCGGUUCUCCGAUCCUGCGUAUACGAGAAGUGAAACAAACUUGAUCAUCUAGAGGAAGUAAAAGUCGUAACAAGGUU
rnacentral:rRNA from 1 species